rnacentral:sRNA from 1 species
ACGAGUGACAAAAUCACAGGUGGAUUG